rnacentral:lncRNA from 1 species
GAUAAACCAAAGUAAGAUGUGUUGUGCUUACUAUGGUGUGUUACAGUGUCUUCCGGAAAAAACUUAAGGCAAGUGAGUAUCAUGCAUUAUCUCUACCAGUCAGCUUUACUUAUUUGACAUGCAUCAACAAGUAACCUAUGCAGAAGUUUCCGAGUCACAUAAUGUUAAAUUAUGUGUCGUGAAGUUUUAGAAGCUGCUCAUAAGACUUAAUCAUACUCUGAGUCAAGGGUACAAAAUUAUGAGUCAUACAAGCUUCAUUUUGUUUGUAAUGGAGGCUUAUUAUUAUAGUGACA